AAGUCGUAACAAGGUUUCCGUAGGUGAACCUGCGGAAGGAUCAUUAACAAAUCAUGAAUGUGGUGAUAGGAGGUUCCGAAAGGGGCCGCUUACCAUCCAUAUAUCAACCCGAACCUGUGCCUUUUAGGCCAGGCUAGGUGUGGGUCAAUUCUAGAUGCUUCCUCCGGGAGGCUUUAGGGUUGGCUCGCGGUGAAGACGCAAGUCGGAUCCACAUAGACGCUUGUUUUUGUUUGACAGAUUUCAAUUGUAUCCAAAUUAAAUGACAACUUUUAACAAUGGAUCUCUUGGCUCUU
rnacentral:misc_RNA from 1 species